rnacentral:rRNA from 1 species
CCCUUAGAUGUCCUGGGCCGCACGCGCGCUACACUGACGGAGCCGGCGAGCUUACCCCUUUGCCGAAAGGCAUGGGAAAUCUUUUGAAUCUCCGUCGUGCUGGGGAUAGAUCAUUGCAAUUAUUGAUCUUGAACGAGGAAUUCCUAGUAAGCGCAAGUCAUCAGCUUGCAUUGAUUACGUCCCUGCCCUUUGUACACACCGCCCGUCGCACCUACCGAUUGAAUGGUCCGGUGAAAUCUUCGGAUUGAGACUUUGAUUUCUUCACGGAAAACGCUGUUUUAAAAAGUUGAUUAAACCUUACCAUUUAGAGGAAGGUGAAGUCGUAACA